AACCUUGUUUCAGCAGGGACUAAAGCAUACAGUGAUGGUUACCUGCAAAAGAAGCGCCGGCCACUACGUGCCAGCAUCCGCGGUAAGAACGUAGGGCGCGAGCGUUGGUACGGAUUAUUGGGCGUAAGAGGUUGUAGGCGGGCUGUCGCGUUGACUGUGAAAACCCGCGAGUCACCGCGGGCUUGCAGCCGAGACGGGCAGGCUGGAGUUCGGUAGGGGAGACUGGAAUUCCUGGUGUAGCGGUGAAAUGCGCAGAUAUCAGGAGGAACACCGAUGGCGAAGGCAGGUCUCUGGGCCGAUACUGACGCUGAGGAGCGAAAGCGUGGGGAGCGAACAGGAUUAGAUACCAUGGUAGUCCACGCUGUAAACGUUGGGCGCUAGGUGUGGGGGACCUCUCCGGUUCUCUGUGCCGCAGCUAACGCAUUAAGCGCCCCGCCUGGGGAGUACGGCCGCAAGGCUAAAACUCAAAGGAAUUGACGGGGGCCCGCACAAGCGGCGUAGCAUGCGGAUUAAUUCGAUGCAACGCGAAGAACCUUACCUGGGUUUGACAUCGCCGGAAAACUCGCAGAGAUGUGGGGUCCUUCGGGGCCGGUGACAGGUGGUGCAUGGCUGUCGCCAGCUCGUGUCGUGAGAUGUUGGGUUAAGUCCCGCAACGAGCGCAACCCUCGCUCGAUGUUGCCAGCGCGAUGGCGGGGACUCAUCGAAGACUGCCGGGGUCAACUCGGAGGAAGGUGGGGAUGACGUCAAGUCAUCAUGCCCCUUAUGUCCAGGGCUUCACGCAUGCUACAAUGGCCGGUACGAAGGGUUGCGAUGCCGUGAGGUGGAGCGAAUCCCAAAAAGCCGGUCUCAGUUCGGAUCGGGGUCUGCAACUCGACCCCGUGAAGUCGGAGUCGCUAGUAAUCGCAGAUCAGCAACGCCGCGGUGAAUACGUUCCCGGG
rnacentral:rRNA from 1 species